rnacentral:RNase_P_RNA from 1 species
CGAGUUGGCUGGACGGCCGCGGCGGCGGGAACCGGCACCUGGUGUCCAGGCCCGCCUUCGAGGAAAGUCCGGACUCCACAGAGCAGGGCGGUUGCUAACGGCAACCCGAGGUGACUCGCGGGACAGUGCCACAGAAAACAGACCGCCAUCGCGCAAGCGGUGGUCAGGGUGAAACGGUGCGGUAAGAGCGCACCAGCGCCCCGGGUGACCGGGGCGGCUAGGUAAACCCCGCCCGGAGCAAGGUUGAAGGUUGCACCCGGAUUCGUCCAGGUGUGGCUGCGCAGAUGUUCGAGGGCUGCUCGCCCGAGUCUGCGGGUGAACCGCUCGAGGUACCCGGCAACGGUGUGCCCAGAUGGAUGGUCGUCACCCGACGCGAUGCGGCGGGUACAGGAUCCGGCUUACACGCCAACUCGUCCG